AGGGAAUAUUGGACAAUGGGCGCAAGCCUGAUCCAGCCAUGCCGCGUGUGUGAAGAAGGCCUUCGGGUUGUAAAGCACUUUUAUCCGGAAAGAAAAGCGCUGGGUUAAUACCCUGGUGUCCUGACGGUACCGGAAGAAUAAGCACCGGCUAACUUCGUGCCAGCAGCCGCGGUAAUACGAAGGGUGCAAGCGUUACUCGGAAUUACUGGGCGUAAAGCGUGCGUAGGUGGUUUGUUAAGUCUGAUGUGAAAGCCCUGGGCUCAACCUGGGAAUUGCAUUGGAUACUGGCAGGCUAGAGUGCGGUAGAGGGUAGUGGAAUUCCCGGUGUAGCAGUGAAAUGCGUAGAGAUCGGGAGGAACAUCUGUGGCGAAGGCGACUACCUGGACCAGCACUGACACUGAGGCACGAAAGCGUGGGGAGCAAAC
rnacentral:rRNA from 1 species